UUCUUCGGAAGUCAGUGGCAGACGGGUGAGUAACACGUGGGAACGUGCCCUUCGGUUCGGAAUAACUCACGGAAACUUGAGCUAAUACCGGGAUACGCCCUUAUGGGGAAAGGGUUUACUGCCGAAGGAUCGGCCCGCGUCUGAUUAGCUUGUUGGUGGGGUAACGGCCUACCAAGGCGACGAUCAGUAGCUGGUCUGAGAGGAUGAUCAGCCACACUGGGACUGAGACACGGCCCAGACUCCUACGGGAGGCAGCAGAAGGG
rnacentral:rRNA from 1 species